rnacentral:rRNA from 1 species
CGAGUGGUAGCCACUAUUAUUGGGCCUAAAGCGUUCGUAGCCGGUUGGGUAAAUUCUUGGGUAAAUCGUACAGCUUAACUGUGCGGAUUCCGGGGACACUACCAGACUGNAGACCGGGAGAGAUCAGAGGUACUUGUAGGGGAGCGGUGAAAUGUUGUAAUCCUACAGGGACCACCAGUGGCGAAGGCGUCUGAUCAUAACGGCUUUGACGGUGAGGAACGAAACCCUGGGGCGCAAACGGGAUUAGAUACCCCGGUAGUCCAGGGCGUAAACGCUGCUGACUUGGUGUUGGAGAUCCUACGAGGGUGUCCAGUGCUGGCGCGAAGGUAUUUAGUCAGCCGCCUGGGGAGUACGGUCGCAAGACUGAAACUAAAAGGAAUUGGCGGGGGAGCACUGCAACGUGUGGAGCGUGCGGUUUAAUUGGAUUCAACGCCGGAAAACUCACCGGGGGCGACGGUUACAUGAAGGCCAAGCUGAUGACUUUGCCUGAUUUUCCGAGAGGUGGUGCAUGGCCGCCGUCAGUUCGUACCGUAAGGCGUUCUGUUAAGUCAGAUAACGAACGAGACCUCCGUCACCAUUUGCUAUUCUCUUCUCCGGAAGGGGAGCACUAUGGUGGUACCGCCACUGUUAAAGUGGAGGAAGGAGGGGGCAACGGUAGGUCAGUAUGCCCCGAAUCUCCCGGGCUACACGCGCGCUACAAAGGCCAGGACAAUGGGCUUCGACACCGAAAGGUGAAGGCAACCCCGAAACCUGGUCGUAAUUCGGAUUGAGGGCUGCAAUUCGCCCUCAUGAAGCUGGAAUACGUAGUAAUCGCGGGUCAACAUCCCGCGGUGAAUAUGCCCCUGCUCCUUGCACACACCGCCCGUCAAACCACCUUAGUUGGGUCUGGACGAGGGUUUGUCUUAUGACACGCUCGAA